rnacentral:rRNA from 1 species
AUUGAACGCUGGCGGUAUGCUUAACACAUGCAAGUCGAACGGCAGCACGAGAGAGCUUGCUCUCUUGGUGGCGAGUGGCGGACGGGUGAGUAACGCGUAGGAAUCUGCCUAUUAGUGGGGGACAACUCGGAGAAAUCCGAGCUAAUACCGCAUACGCCCUACGGGGGAAAGCAGGGGAUCUUCGGACCUUGCGCUAAUAGAUGAGCCUGCGUUGGAUUAGCUUGUCGGUGAGGUAAUGGCUCACCAAGGCUGCGAUCCAUAGCUGGUCUGAGAGGACGAUCAGCCACACUGGGACUGAGACACGGCCCAG